UUCGGUGGCGAUAGCGCAGUGGAACCACCUGUUCCCAUUCCGAACACAGAAGUGAAACGCUGCUGCGCCGAUGGUACUGCACGGGAGACUGUGUGGGAGAGUAGGACGCCGCCGAAA
rnacentral:rRNA from 2 species